rnacentral:misc_RNA from 1 species
GGAGCAGCGCCAGCUCGGAUCAGGAUGCAGGUGAUUUCAGUCAACAGCAGUCGCUCCCAAUGUUCCGCCGUCGCGGUGCCUUGAUCAAGAAUAAUUUCAAAAGGCGGUUUACGCUGAAGGGGAAGGUUGGGAAGGAGCUCUUUGGGACAAACAUAUUUCGUAAGACCGGACAGUUGUCUUCAUCGGUUAGUGAGGAUGUUAAUCAGCCAGGGUGCUCGAGGGCUCGGCACACUUCUCGAUUCUCCGGGGUGCAUUCAGGAACAAAAUGAAGCCCAGGUAUUUUAGAAAACUUUUUUUUGGUCUGUUCUGCAGUAUGUAAAAUAUUAAAUAUGUAGAAAUCUAUGGAUAUAAUAUAUCAUAAGAUAUGUAUGCUUAGAUACAUUUUGAACUUGUAGUGGAUCUUAAAAAGCCUUUAUGAAA